GAAAUCCUUAUCCUCAAAAGAGUAGGUCUAUCUUACUUUUAAAACUCAGGUUAAAACAGUGUAAAACAUGGUUGCUGUGGAUGUUGUUUCAAAGCCUAAUACAACAAAAUGGACAGCGCUUUCUAAAGUCAUGAUUCAGUCAAAACACCCAUAUGUAUAUUACAGUUUAUGCACAGGCUUAUGAGCCCAAGCCAUCCUUAUGGCAUUACCCAUCCUACCGCAUGCAUGGCAGAAAAACAUCAAACUGAUUUAAGAUGUCUUUGGUACAUAAUUGGUCUAGCCUAUACUCCAACAUUAAACACAUUCUAGUAAUGGCCUUUGAGUGUGGAUUGUACUACUGGGCAUACUGGUGGACUGGUUACCUUAUGCUACACUCCAACAUUUAUAUCCAUGAGUCUGGCAGAGAACGUAAAGCCCUAGGCCAUGCGUUUGAUUCAUUGAUUGAGCAGGGUGGCUUACAGUUAGCCUACAAUUAGUGAAUUUGUAUUUCAUUUUGAAUAGCCUAGUAAUAGGGAAUGUUUAAUAUUUGAAUAAUGAAUUGGGUGCCCCAUUACCUUUAGCUAUCCAUAAUACAGUAUCUCACCACCGUGCGUUUCCAUCUCCUCCUCUCUCUCCUUUAUUCCUUUCUGGAGCACACAGAGGGGCUGUCAACAGUUUAGUGAAGUAUGUUUCGUUACGAAAACAUGUUACUGUCGAUGUUUCCGAAAAUAUUUCACUUGGUUUCCAAAAUGAAGCACUGGGUAGCUGCAGGAACAAGGUUGGAGAGCCCAUCCAGAGUUUUGUCGGACGAUCACCUGUCGGGCAGUGAGAGGCUGGCUGCUCCUCAAACUGCUUGAUGCUGGAGUGAAAUAAGUGUUUUUGUGUGCCCUAAAACUGAAACAACCUGGUGUUUACAACAAGCAAUGUUAGGCAAGAGUUGCUGAAAGGGUCUGAAAAAGUCAACCAACCCAGAACGCAUUGCAAGUUUGAGGACAAAGAAAUCCUUUUCUACCCAAGCUACGGAUGAGUAGCUGUGUCUAAGCGGGUGAAUUCAAGUCGAACCACCUAGCCUCCAUCUCCCAUCGAAUCGUGGUAUCUAAAGGGUUUCAUUCCUAUGCUGUGAGCUCUGAGCUACAGAGCUGUCUGUCCUCAGAAGACCCCUUCCAGAGAAAAGGGGGGGCCAGACUCCUAAGGGACACGGACACCGGGAGGACGAGCAACGAGGUGCGCAGGAGAAGUGCGUCAUCGAACAACGGAACAGUCCACGCAGAGAAUCCCCGGAGAUCACCCCCCCCCUAUCAUUAUAUUCUGACCCAUAAAAGCGGCAGUUUGAGGCAAGGCUAGGGUUAGAAUAGCUGACAAAUUCACCCAAAUGUAUAUUUCUCUUGUGUACUUCUUUUUCUCUCUCUUUUGAAAUCCCCAUUGUGGGUAACACGCACAUAGUGUGUUGGCCUGUUAUACUCAGUUCUAAUCAAUAGCCUAUAAUGUGUUUUGUCUAUGUGUAUCUUUUAUCAUCAUUUUAGUUUUUAGUAAAUAACUCAUUAGUGGGACCCGGGUCCGUGCAGAUUCAAGGGCUAUACAACGAUCAGAUUAUGAGACUGAUAGAGGAAACGGGUUCAUUAGCGGCUGUUGUAAAAUCGAUAUUCUGAUAUCCUUUGAGUUAAUUUGGGAAAUAGAAACUCAAUAAAAACUUGUUUUCCCAUGGUGCCCCAGGUUAAUGAGUUAAUAAUUGCUUGAUUCAGUUAAUCACGUAAUUAAAAACUUGUAAUCAUUCGAUGAGCAACAGUCGUCACUUUAACCAAUACAACGUUUAUACCCCGUUUAUAGCCUCCACAUUGACUCUGUACCGGUACCCCCUGUAUAUAGCCUCCACAUUGACUCUGUACUGGUACCCCCUCUAUAUAGCCUCCACAUUGACUCUGUACCGGUACCCCCUGUAUAUAGCCUCCACAUUGACUCUGUACUGGUACCCACUGUAUAUAGACAUCACUGCCUAUUUAAAUCUCAGAGCCUAUACCAAGGCAGGAUAGGAGCGGGACAUCAGACGAACCCUCAAACAAGCAAAGCGUCAAUACAGGAUUAAGAUUGAAUCUUACUACACCGGCUCUGACGCUCGUCGGAUGUGGCAGGGCUUAAAAACUAUUAUGGGCUACAAAGGGAAACCCAGACCCGAGCUGCCCAGUGAAGCUAGCCUACCGGACAAGCUAAAUGCCUUUUAUGCUUGCUUCCAGGCAAGCAACACUGAAGCAUGCACGAGAGCACCAGCUGUUCUGGAUGACUGUGAUAAUGCUCUCGGUAGCCGAUGUGAGCAAGACCUUUAAACAGGUCAACAUUCACAAAGACGCAGGGCCAGAUGGAUUACCAGGACGUGCACUCAGAGCAUGCGCGGACCAACUGGCAAGUGUCUUCACUGACAUUUUCAACCUCUCCCUAACCGAGUCUGUAGUACCUACAUGUUUCAAGCAGAUUACCAUAGUCCCUGUGCCCAAGGAAGCAAAGGCAACCUGCCUAAAUGAUUACCGCCCGUAGCACUCACGUCGGUAGCCCUGAAGUGCUUUGAAAGGCUGGUCAUGGCUCACAUCAACAGCAUCAUCCUGGAUACCCUCGACCCACUCCAAUUCACAUACCGCCCUAACAGAUCCACAGAUGAUGCAAUCUCUAUUGCACUCCACACUGCCCUUUCCCACAUGGACAAAAGGAACACCUAUGUGAGAAUGCUAUUCAUUGACUACAGCUCAGCGUUCAACACCCUAUUGCCCACGAAGCUCGUCACUAAGCUAAGGGCCCUGGGACUAAACAGCUCCCUCCGCAACUGGAUCCUGGACUUCCUGACAGGAUGCCCCCAGGUGGUAAGGGUAGGCAACAACACGUCUGCCACGCUGAUCCUCAACACUGGGGCCCCUCAGCGGUGUGUACUUAAGUCCCCUUCUGUACUCCAUGUUCACCCAUGACUGAGUGGCCAAACACGACUCCAACACCAUCAUUAAGUUUUCUGAUGACACAACAGUGGUAGGCCUGAUCACAGACAACGAUGAAACAGCCUAUAGGGAGGAGGUCAGAGAACUGGCAGUGUGGUGCCAGGACAACAACCUCUCCCUCAAUGUGAGCAAGACAAAGGAGCUGAUUGUGAACUAUAGGAAAAGGCGGGCCGAACAGGUCCCCAUUAACAUCAACGGAGCUGUAGUGGAGCGGGCUGAGAGUUUCAAUUUCCUUGGUGUCCACAUCACCAAUGAUCUAACAUGGUCCAAACACACCAAGACAGUCGUGAAGAGGGCACGACAAAACCUUUUCCCUCUCAGGAGACUGAAAAGAUUUGGCAUGGGUCCCCAGAUCCUCAAAAAGUUAUACAGCUGCACCAAUGAGAGCAUCCUGACCGGUUGCAUCACUGCCUGGUAUGGCGCUACAGAGGGUAGUGAGUACAGCCCAGUACAUCACUGGGGCCAAGCUUCCUGCAAUCUAGGACCAAUAUAAUAGGUAGUGUCAGAGGAAAGCCCAUAAAAUUGUCAGAGACUCCAGUCACCCAAGUCAUAGACUGUUCUCUUUGCUACCGCACGGCAAGUCUAGGGCCAAAAGGCUCCUUAACAGCUUCUACUCCAAAGCCAUAAGACUGCUGAACAAUUAAUCAAAUGGCCACCAGACUAUUUACAUUGACCCCCCUUCCAUUUGUUUUGUACACUGCUGCUACUCACUGUUUAGUAUCUAUGCAUAGUCACUUCACCCCUACCUACAUGUAUAAAUUAUCUCUAAACUGUAUCCCCGCACACUGACUCGGUACCGGUACCCCUGUAUAUAGCCUUGUUAUAGUUAUGUUAUUGUGUUUUUUUAAACUAUUUUUUACUUUCGUUUUUUUGGUAAAUAUUUUCUUAACUCUUCUUGAACUGCACUGUUUGUUAAGGGCUUGUAGGUAAGCAUUUCACAGUAAGGUCUACACUGUUUGUUAAGGGCUUGUAGGUAAGCAUUUCACAGUAAGGUCUACACUGUUUGUUAAGGGCUUGUCAGUCAGCAUUUCACAGUAAGGUCUACACUGUUUGUUAAGGGCUUGUAGGUAAGCAUUUCACAGUAAGGUCUACACUGUUUGUUAAGGGCUUGUCAGUCAGCAUUUCACAGUAAGGUCUACACUUGUAUUCGGCGCAUGUGACAAAUACAAUUUGAAUUGAUUUGAUCAGAGUUCACCAUUUAAAUGAGGCCCCAGGUCACUACACUGAGCCCUAGAUUGUAUCAGAUCAGUGUUAACCCACAGUAACACAGAGUUCAUCAUCUAAAUGAGCCCUAGAUUGUAUCAGAUCAGUGUUAACCCACAGUAACACAGAGUUCAUCAUCUAAAUGAGCCCUAGAUUGUAUCAGAUCAGUGUUAACCCACAGUAACACAGAGUUCAUCAUCUAAAUGAGCCCUAGAUUCUAUCAGAUCAGUGUUAACCCACAGUAACACAGACUUCAUCAUCUAAAUGAGCCCUAGAUUCUAUCAGAUCAGUGUUAACCCACAUCAUUGUUUUUGUUUAGGCGAUGUUGGAGGUGUGCAUUGGAACAGUCACAUCCACAAGCGGCUCCCAGCGUUAUACCUAUCACAGACAUUGCCAUUGGAUGCACCAAUUCUUCCAAUGACUUCCAAUGAAUGGAAGUUUACAAGUACAGUAGAGUUCCAGUCAUUUUGCUGACGCUAGUUAGCAUUGGCUCACAAAAUGACCUCCAACUUCCUCCAUACUGCCGAGACAUAGAAAUGGUAUCCACAAGUUAAUCUGACUCUGGGGUGUAACUGACAGUUAGAUUUACAGGUUAUGUCGUUGUCUUUUCUUUGAAUUGUUUACGUGUCCGCUGUGCGAGGGAAAUGAUAAUACAAGCGGAACUACGUAGCUAAUACUGUUGUAACGGGGAUUAUUAUUGUAGCAACACACUUUUGGAGGGAAGGCAAUCCUGCGCUGCGUUAGCUAAGUUUUCAUGUCAUCGGGUGUAGAUCAUAAAGGUUGAAGAGUGUAUGUUAGGAUGAAGUGUGAAUUCAUGCCAGGAAUAAUAAGUGUGAAGUUUGAUUUCCUCCCUUCUGUAAUAAGCAGCCAAUGAGGUAUUUUUUCCUUUAUUCAUGUGUUUAAUCUGAACCCGUUAUAACGCCGGUUAAACUGUUAUGCAUGUAAGCACUUCAGAGUUAACCAAGCUAAUAAGUCACUCGUAAGAUAAGGUUGUAAGAGUGUGCUUAACUGUAUUUUUCAUUUACUUUAUAGUUCUCACGGAAGGUGAUAAUUCUGACUAAAACUACAGAAUAAAGCCGCCAGUUAAAAUCAAGGAACGGUUGUGCUCGUGGUUACUGAAGGGAGCUACAUGGGGAAGCAGAAAAAAUGCCAGAAAUUGGCAGUAUGGCUUUAACGCUGAUCUGAUUGAAUGUAGGCCUGAGUUGGGCCUUGGUACUACUAUAACCUGGUCCUACUAUAACCUGGUCCUACAUCCC
ensembl:lncRNA